UUAAAACAGCCUGUGGGUUGUUCCCACCCACAGGGCCCACUGGGCGCUAGUACACUGGUAUGCCUUACCUCGGUAUUACGGUACCGGUGUAUAUAGUACCCUUGUACGCCUGUUUUAUAU
rfam:Porcine enterovirus 9 strain TKG/216/80 capsid protein VP4 gene, complete cds.